CUAAUUAAUUGUAAUUGUAAUUAACCCAAGUGAUGAUCUUAAACAAAGUGGGGAAACUAUGCAAAAAUAUAAGAAUUUUUGAAGGGGACCAAUACUAACAAGGGGGGUCAUUACUUAUUCACAUAGGGCCAGGUAACUUUGAAUAUAUAUUUUUUUGCCUAGCUCCUUCUGGACCUGGACAACUUGCUGUGAUUGAUGGAACCAUGAAUUCUGCUCUUUAACAGAAAAUCCUGAAGGAGAAUGUUCAGCCAUCAGCUUGUGACCUCAAGCCGAAGCACACUUGGGUUCUGCAGCAAGAUAAGCAAGGAUGAACAUGUUGACUUGCUGAGAAUGCUGAUGGAAGAAAGAUAGGGAACCCACCUUCUCUUACUUGGAUGGUUGUUUCCUGCCCUUGCAAAUGGACCACAGCGGGCUGAAAAGUGACACAUGCUACCUGGAAUUCUUUAGUUUUCAUCCUAUCAGGAACUCCUGCAACAAAAAGAAAGACAUGAUGGAAUUCUGACCCAUACCACUGCAGUAUAAGAAAAGCUGACACCAUUGUGACGAACUCAAAACAAGCAAUGCCCUAGACUACAGAGAGUUCCCUCCUAAUCCCGCACAAUGUUUGACACCCAGCAUUAGAAAAUCUCACAGUUAAGGCUAUGAAUUUAUUCAUUUUGACAACUUGAGCCUCCUCUGAGCGUGGGAACAUGGCUACACGAAGGCUUUAUGCUGUGUAAUCAAAGAGCGGGCCCCAAAACUUGAGUUUGAGCUGUUGUAGUAUAGUAACCACUCAUCUUCCAUUUUGAACUUAGUACCUGCUGGGCCUUGAGCACCUGGAGGCCCCUGUGGUCCAGGGGGGCCGGGAGGUCCUGUAGGACCCACAGCAUUACUUCCUGGGAUG